GACAAACAACCUUUCGAUCGGCACCCACCUUGGUAGUAAACACCCCGAGACAUCCAAUUGUUAUUUAGAUCGAUGGUAAAUAAACUAUCUCCUAAGUACCAUUAUCAUGAAGAACAAUUAUUUUCUCAAUCAUAGAAUGAUAAAAUGGAUUGCUUGAUUAUUUUCUCGAGCUUGUUGGGAUUUAUACUGUGUUUACUUGUAAUCCCAACAAGGAAAGGAAAGUAAUCCUAGUAAUUUCUUUUCCUAUUU
rnacentral:lncRNA from 1 species